GAAAUACCACCCUUUAAUGUUUGAUGUUCUAACGUUGGCCCGUAAUCCGGGUUGCGGACAGUGUCUGGUGGGUAGUUUGACUGGGGCGGUCUCCUCCUAAAGAGUAACGGAGGAGCACGAAGGUUGGCUAAUCCUGGUCGGACAUCAGGAGGUUAGUGCAAUGGCAUAAGCCAGCUUGACUGCGAGCGUGACGGCGCGAGCAGGUGCGAAAGCAGGUCAUAGUGAUCCGGUGGUUCUGAAUGGAAGGGCCAUCGCUCAACGGAUAAAAGGUACUCCGGGGAUAACAGGCUGAUACCGCCCAAGAGUUCAUAUCGACGGCGGUGUUUGGCACCUCGAUGUCGGCUCAUCACAUCCUGGGGCUGAAGUAGGUCCCAAGGGUAUGGCUGUUCGCCAUUUAAAGUGGUACGCGAGCUGGGUUUAGAACGUCGUGAGACAGUUCGGUCCCUAUCUGCCGUGGGCGCUGGAGAACUGAGGGGGGCUGCUCCUAGUACGAGAGGACCGGAGUGGACGCAUCACUGGUGUUCGGGUUGUCAUGCCAAUGGCACUGCCCGGUAGCUAAAUGCGGAAGAGAUAAGUGCUGAAAGCAUCUAAGCACGAAACUUGCCCCGAGAUGAGUUCUCCCUGACUCCUUGAGGGUCCUGAAGGAACGUUGAAGACGACGACGUUGAUAGGCCGGGUGUGUAAGCGCAGCGAUGCGUUGAGCUAACCGGUACUAAUGAACCGUGAGGCUUAACCUU
rnacentral:rRNA from 1 species